UUACAGUAUAAUAAAUUAAUCGAAUAAUAAAAACAACUGUUUAAAAUUCAAGAAUUUUGGCGGUAUCUUAUAAAAUUAGGGGAACAUGUUACUUAAUACGAUAAUCCACGACCAAUCAACCAUCUUUAGUAUAUCAGUCUGUGUACUGCUGUCAUAAAUAAACCUAUAAAAGAAAGUAUAUAAUAAUAUUUAUUAUUAUUUAUGUCAAGUCAAAGUGCAGCCAAUAAGAUGGUGUAAAUGUGUUACAAUCCUUACUUAAAGAAUUAUUAAUAAAAAUAUAUUUAUUAGCAAAACGGACUUAACAGUAAUAUAAUGAAAAAUCAUAUAUAAACAUUUAUCUAAGAUAUGCACACAUCGCCCGUCACUCUUGUCAACCAAGACU
rnacentral:rRNA from 1 species